AAUAAGGUUGUAGACAGUGUUACGAGAAGACAUUUACAAGUCUAUUAGCAUAGGUCCAUACUUUUACUGGGUCAGUUCAAUUUGCAGAUUUGUUCCCUCUGUUUAGAGCAGUAGUGAGGAAAGAAGUGCAGCUUUCCCCUUGGUUUAAAACCUUUGGGAGACAAAUAAACCUCAUAGAAAAGAAGUCCUUCAUCAUAAGUUUCACACCAUGAUCUAAUAGUGGAGUCAUUUUAUCCUGGUGUUUUGGUUGUUACAGCUGAAAAUCAUUGGGAUAUACCAUUUUCAAUAGCAAUUGAUCUUGAUUCUGUGACUACCACUGACUCUUCUGGUGGUUCUGUUAUACUUAAUUCAAGCUAUUCGAAAGCAUU